ensembl:lncRNA
GUUCUGGGGCUCAUGUUGAGAGCAGGAUCUCUGAAGCCAGGCAGUCUUGAGUUUGAAUUUCUGCUAUGCCACUUAGAGGCUGAGUGACCUGGGACAAGCUACUGAACAUCUCUGGGCCUCAUUUCCCCUUUCUGAAAAAUGGGGACAGGACCCACUUCAUAAGAUUGUUGUAAGGGGUGGAUUAGAAAAUACAAAGAGCCUAGCAAAGUGCUUCUUAUUUAGUAAAUAUUCGAUAAAUGUUGAUGCAGCCAGAGUGAAAUGUAUUUUAUAAAGUUCAAUGAGCAUAAAUUUCAUUGCUUUGUUAAACAACUCAAUCUUUAUUUUAAGGCAAGAGUUAGAAAACAGCCAAUUUAGUGUUGUCCACUUUCCUGGGGAUAGGCUUUGUGCCAACAGGGUGCUAGGGGGACAAGGGUGGCCAUCAGUAAGCUCUGCUGGCAUCUGGUAAGUCAUUCUCAUUCUCAUCUGGCCUCUCGUCACCUGUUUGCACUGGUCCCUACUGUGACCUUCCUUCCUAAGCAAGGCCUCCUCUAUUCGUCAGCUCCCUGGGCUGCAGCUGGGCUGCUCAGAAGGUCUGAGAAGACUGCAUCUGCCUCUUGUCUCUUCGCUGUUGGAAACCCUCCCCAUAGAAGUAGAGGGAGCCAUUGUCUCUGGCCACCACACGAGACCCUGUGAGGCUGUGUGUACCCUCUGGUCAGAUCUCCCCCUCUUUCCUCUACUCUUCCGUUAUACUGGUGGUCUUGCUCCUUCUGUGGGAACAGAGACUCUGGCAUCUUCAGCUUUGAAAUUGCUUAAACAUAUCUGCUUGGAGGUGGGAUAGGUGAGUCAAGCUUCAAUGUCCUUCACUCUGACCCCAGGGUGUCUAAAUGCUCUUAAUUUCUUCAGAUUAUCCUCCACCACCAGGGCUAUUUAUCUAACCUCAGGGACAGUAAAUAGGUCUGUGGCUCAGAAGCUCCUUUCCAAGGAGUUUUUGAGGCCUGCAUUCCUGGCUCACCAAUACUUUUCACCCGUUUUGUUUUUACAUCUUUUUCUAGAGGGAAUGGAUGCCACAUGGUGCAGCUGCCUAAAAGCUAAGAAGGGGUCAUGGGGUAACAGGAAAUGCCAAAGAAAAACAAUAAUUGGAUUUGAGAGGUGUCCCUAAACACCAGCUGCUGUGUUCUGUGUAAAAGACACUCAACAGGCCAGGCACAGUGGCUCAUGCCUGUAAUCCCAGCACUUUGGGAGGCCAAGGCAGGCAGAUCACUGGAGACCAGGAGUUCGAGAUCAGCCUGGCCAACAUGGCGAAAUCCUGUCUCUAUUAAAAAUACAAAAAUUAGUCGGAUGUGGUGGCUUAUGCCUGUAGUUCCAGCUACUUGGGAGGCUGAGGCAUGAGAAUCACUUGAACCCGGGAGGCGGAGGUUGUAGUGAGCCAAGAUUGUGCCACUGCACUCCAGCCUGGGCUAGAGAGUAAGACUGUGUCUCAAAAUAAAAUAAAAUAAAAUAAAAUAAAAUAAAAUAAAUAAAAAAUAAAAAAUAAAAGGGCACUCAACAGAGUAGACAUAGGAAGUAAUCCUGGCCUGGCUUGGCCUAGCCUCUGGAGGCGGCUGUUUUUCCACCUGGUAAAUUGAUGAUUUUCAUUGCGUAUUUUCUCUGAGUGUUUGUUAACUCCACGGCAGUCUUUUGGAGUUAGUUUGUCAUUGACUUGAACCCAUCAGAAAAGAGUUGACCUCUCAUUCUGCAUCUGGCAUUUGGAGUGUGGCGCUAGGACUCAAUCAAAAAAGAGUGGAAAUAGCCAUUGGCCAUUGAGGAACGGCCAGGCCUUGGCAUGCCAGAGGUAAUGUCUUUUUUGGUUAUGCCCAGUAAGUACAACAAACUAAAAGAGAAAAAAUAAAUAAAUUUGGACAAAGUGAUCUCAAUUCAUGUGUUUUGAAGAAACCUGGAAUAACUUAGAGAAGAGAGAUGACAAAUAUAUGUUUCCGGAAAAUAUUAGCUGAAACUGCAACCACUGUUGUAAACAUUUGCCGUCCUCCUGCAGAGGAGGGAGCAUGCC